rnacentral:rRNA from 1 species
UACGUAGGGUCCAAGCGUUAAUCGGAAUUACUGGGCGUAAAGCGUGCGCAGGCGGUUUUAUAAGCCAGAUGUGAAAUCCCCGGGCUUAACCUGGGAAUGGCAUUUGGGACUGUAAGGCUAGAGUACGGCAGAGGAGACUAGAAUUCCUGGUGUAGCAGUGAAAUGCGUAGAUAUCAGGAGGAAUACCGAUGGCGAAGGCAGGUCUCUGGGUCGAUACUGACGCUCAUGCACGAAAGCGUGGGGAGCAAACAGG